UAGCAUGUUUAUCUAUUGUCUUAAAAAAUCAUAAUAUCUAAUAAAAUUAGUAGAUUUAGCUAACGAAGUCCUUAUAUUUGAAUACAGCAACAUUCAUUUUCAGUGAAACAUUGUUUUAACGUUAAUUAAGCUAUACUUAAAAAUGUUUACUAAACCCUCGAUGUGAUUAAUGUAAGAUAACUCUGGUCAAUUUUCCCAAUCAUUCUUUCAUUAGGGGGAGAUAAUAUAUUUCGAUGAUGGAAGUGUUUAACGACCUUGACUGGAUAAACAUCCCUCGCACGGCCG
rnacentral:lncRNA from 1 species